AGCGAACGCUGGCGGCAGGCCUAAUACAUGCAAGUCGAGCGGGUCCUUCGGGAUUAGCGGCGGACGGGUGAGUAACGCGUGGAACGUGCCCUUUGGUACGGAACAACUGAGGGAAACUUCAGCUAAUACCGUAUGUGCCCUUCGGGGAAAGAUUUAUCGCCAUUGGAGCGGCCCGCGUUGGAUUAGGUAGUUGGUGAGGUAAAGGCUCACCAAGCCUACGAUCCAUAGCUGGUCUGAGAGGAUGACCCAGCCACACUGGGACUGAGACACGGCCCAGACUCCUACGGAGGCAGCAGUAGGGAAUCUUGCGCAAUGGGCGAAAGCCUGACGCAGCCAUGCCGCGUGAAUGAUGAAGGUCUUAGGAUUGUAAAAUUCUUUCACCGGGGACGAUAAUGACGGUACCCGGAGAAGAAGCCCCGGCUAACUUCGUGCCAGCAG
rnacentral:rRNA from 1 species